rnacentral:lncRNA from 1 species
AUAAAUAUUUAUUUUAUUCUUUAGCUCAACAAAGACAAAAAUAAAUAAAUAAUAAACUUAACAAAAUUUACUACUUCACAAUUAAACAAUAAGCACUAAAUAUAAUAAACAAAUGUUAUAAAAAAAUGAUGAAGAUGUACAUUUGUUCUAAUAUGUUAGUCGCAGAACUUGACAAAAUAUCAAAGCCAAUAAAAGUAAUUCAUUUAUUUACAGAUUUGCUGAAACUUUAGUGUUUGAAGUGAUCUGAUAUUGUCAAAUACUAUUACUUAAAAAUAUGCCAAUUUUAACAGCAUUUAACAUGAGGGAUCACAAACCAACGCAUUUCAGAUAAAUUGGUGACAACUGCUAAUAAGCACAAUCUACUUAAAAUAAGAUAUGGUGUCCACCAAGCAUACAAAAGUGAGCCAGUGUGGAGAUCUUAUUUUAGCAAGAAUCAUCCAAUCAACAUGUUUAAGUUCAAAAGCAGAACUUAUUAAAAUACUGAAAAACAAAAAUUUUAUGAUUUACUCUGUAAAUGAGACAGAAUUAUGAAGAUAAGUAAUAUGCACAAUACAUUAUGCACCAGAGAUCCUCUAUUUAAUCUAAUCAGUCUUACUUCUGACAAUUUAGAAAUAAGGAGAUGUGGUAUGAUUGUCCAUGAGAAAACUAGCAAACUGAGUCUGAAUGAUGUGAAUGUAUGCAACCAUAAACUGUAAUCAAAUCUUUGAAAAUUUAUUAAAGAUUAACAUUUAUUAUAAUAUGUAUAAAUCAUUUGCAGAAGGAUUUACCAGUAUUAUCUUGAGGCCAAAAUUCAAUAUGUUUAUGGAGUCUUACUUUAAUGUCAAAGACAACUAUUGGUACUCAAUUAUCUGAAAGCAGAGGGCAUAAUAAAGCCUCUUUCAUGAUCCCUGGAAUUUGAAAAUCAUAUCGUAAUUCAAAUCUUCAGAUUUUCACAUUAAAUUUAUAAUAAUAUUUUUGUCUUGAGAUUUUAUAGUAGAUGUUAAUUUGAUAAUUUCUUUAAUUUGUUUUUGAUAAUGUUUUAUUUUAUGUAAGCAUGUAUGUAUGGCCUCUAGGCCUUCAAAGAAUUUUGAAAUUUAACAUGUUUCAGGAGACACUUUUCAUCUUUUUAUGCACCCAGUGUUCUGCCUUUCUAUUGUAGAUAUAAAAUGACUUUUUACUCAUAUUAACUCUUGAUUUUGUUUAUGAUUCAACUAAUAGGAAAAAAUAAUUAAAGACUUCUUCAGUUGGAAAAAUCAAUAUAAAAUACUGUCAAACCAGGUCACAAAGGCAGAUUUACAGAAUCCUUGCAGAUGUGUUUAGAUAGCACUUUGAAUGAAGCAAUGCAAAAUAAAAAAAAAAACCAAACACUUUAAAUAAACCAAUGCAAAAAAGGCAUUUGGAUAAAGCAAUGCAACAACAGCACUUAAAAUGAAGCAAUACAGAAAUUAGCACUUUAAGAGAAGUAAUGUAGAAACAAUUUCAUAAAUAAACUACUGUGGAUUCAUUAUUAUUUGUUGGAUACCAAUUUCAAGUGGAUUUC